CAAUUCUCAUGCCUCAGCCUCCAGAGUAGCUGGGAUUACAGGCUGCACAGGAAUGAUGGUGCCAGCAUUUGCAUCCGAUGAUGGCACAGGGUGCUUUCAUACAUGGUGGAGGGUGAAGUGGAGCUGGCAUGCAGGGAUCAUAUGGCAAGGCCUGUGAUGAGAAGGGCUGCCAUGAAGACCUCUGAC